rnacentral:rRNA from 1 species
GAUGAACGCUAGCGGCAGGCUUAAUACAUGCAAGUCGUGGGGCAGCAUGAAUGUAGCAAUACAUUUGAUGGCGACCGGCAAACGGGUGCGGAACACGUACACAACCUUCCUAUAAGUGGGGAAUAGCCCAGAGAAAUUUGGAUUAAUACCCCGUAACAUAACGAUGUGGCAUCACAUUGUUAUUAUAGCUUCGGCGGUUAUUGAUGGGUGUGCGGCUGAUUAGAUAGUUGGCGGGGUAACGGCCCACCAAGUCUACGACCAGUAGCCGAUGUGAGAGCAUGAUCAGCCACACGGGCACUGAGACACGGGCCCGACUCCUACGGGAGGCAGCAGUAAGGAAUAUUGGUCAAUGGACGCAAGUCUGAACCAGCCAUGCCGCGUGAAGGAUUAAGGUCCUCUGGAUUGUAAACUUCUUUUAUCUGGGACGAAAAAAGGCUAUUCUUAGUCACUUGACGGUACCAGAUGAAUAAGCACCGGCUAACUCCGUGCCAGCCGCCGCGGUAAUAC